UAGUCAUUGGUACUGCUUUCUGUGGUGUACU
rnacentral:piRNA from 1 species